rnacentral:lncRNA from 1 species
AAGGAAAAAAGGCCAAGUUUCCAUACAAUACAAUGAAAGAGGGGAGACUUACAAUCUCACUAACUAGAAUGUUAUGCCUCUUGUGUCACAAAUUUAGCGCUAUGUUAAGCAAUCGUAAUUGGACUUAUGUAGAAGUCACAACUAUUUAAGGCCGGGCAAUCGAAUUUUGGUGUUAAUGCAUGUUAGAGACAUAGUAUAAUGGACUAUGCUCAUGAAACAUACCACACACAAAAAGAAUAUGCAAAAGAGGUGGCCUAAUCUCAUCCAUACUUGUAAC